CCUACGGGAGGCAGCAGUGAGGAAUAUUGGUCAAUGGACGAGAGUCUGAACCAGCCAAGUAGCGUGAAGGAUGACUGCCCUAUGGGUUGUAAACUUCUUUUAUAUGGGAAUAAAAUGUUCCACGUGUGGGAUUUUGUAUGUACCAUAUGAAUAAGGAUCGGCUAACUCCGUGCCAGCAGCCGCGGUAAUACGGAGGAUCCGAGCGUUAUCCGGAUUUAUUGGGUUUAAAGGGAGCGUAGGUGGAUUGUUAAGUCAGUUGUGAAAGUUUGCGGCUCAACCGUAGAAUUGCAGUUGAAACUGGCAGUCUUGAGUACAGUAGAGGUGGGCGGGAUUCGUGGUGUAGCGGUGAAAUGCUUAGAUAUCACGAAGAACUCCGAUUGCGAAGGCAGUUCACUGGACUGCAACUGACACUGAGGCUCGAAAGUGUGGGUAUCAAACAGGAUUAGAUACCCGAGUAGUC
rnacentral:rRNA from 1 species